rnacentral:rRNA from 1 species
UACGGGGGGGGCAAGCGUUGUUCGGAAUUACUGGGCGUAAAGGGCUCGUAGGCGGCCAACUAAGUCAGACGUGAAAUCCCCAGGCUCAACCUGGGAACUGCGUCUGAUACUGGAUGGCUUGAAUUCGGGAGAGGGAUGCAGAAUUCCAGGUGUAGCGGUGAAAUGCGUAGAUAUCUGGAGGAAUACCGGUGGCGAAGGCGGCAUCCUGGACCGGCAUUGACGCUGAGGAGCGAAAGCCAGGGGAGCAAACGGG